rnacentral:rRNA from 1 species
GUGCCAGCAGCCGCGGUAAUACGGGAGUGGCAAGCGUUAUCCGGAAUUAUUGGGCGUAAAGCGUCCGCAGGCGGCCCUUCAAGUCUGCUGUUAGAAAGUGGAGCUUAACUCCAUCAUGGCAGUGGAAACUGUUGGGCUUGAGUGUGGUAGGGGCAGAGGGAAUUCCCGGUGUAGCGGUGAAAUGCGUAGAGAUGGGGGAGAACACUCGUGGCGAAGGCGGCCAGCUGGACCAGUUCUAACGCUGAGACGCGAAAGCGUGGGGAGCAAACAGGAUUAGAUACCCCUGUAGUCCG